UGCGUGUCAGGCGGGGGGCGGGCCCCCGAGGCCGUGCCCCGGGCUGAGUCGCUUGCUUGGCGCCUUCCGCAGUGGCGCGGCGGGUACUCGAGGUAGUGUGGCGCAAUUGUUUUUUUGAACUCCAAGUCCCUCGCUGUAGGACCUGUGACUAGCUAGGCAGAACCUAGGAGGGAGCCUUCUGCUCUGACCCGGGCCAAAAGAUCACAGACUGGGCCAAACGAAGAGGAGCUUCCAGGUCUGUUCUACAGAAAACAUGCAGGCAAAAUGUUAAAAAAAAAAAGAACAAAUAAACAAGGAAAAAGGAAAACAGCAAACAAAAAAGGAAAUACCAGAAGCACAUAUAAAUGCAGAGGCACACAGAAAACCCAAAAAAACGCAACAUUGGAAACCAUGAUACAGAAGCAGAAGAUCAGUAAGAUGCAUUUUAAAAUUGAAUCCACUUGGGAUGGUUUUCCAGUGAGGCAUGAGCCAGUAUGUGUCAGGCUGAGUCCAGGUGACAAGGGAGUGAAGAUGGAGGUUAGUGCUCCAUUUUUCAAUGAUCCUCCAGCCCCUCUUGGAGAACCAGGAAAGCCUUUCAGUGAACUGUGGAAUUAUGAAGUUGUAGAAGCAUUUUUCUUGAAUGAUAAAACUGAGCAGUAUUUAGAAGUUGAACUUUGUCCCCAUGGACAGCAUUUAGUUCUUUUACUCUCUGGAAGAAGAAAUGUUUGGAAAAAAGAGCUUGCGUUAUCAUUCAAAGUGGCCAGAGGAGAGACUAACUGGGAAGGCACAGCUUAUCUUCCUUGGAGUUACUUCCCACCAAAUGUGACACAAUUUAACUCCUUUGCAAUUCAUGGAUCAAAUGAUAGAAGAGAGUAUGAAUCCCUUUACCCUGUGCCGCAGCAUGAACUACAGCAAGGACAAAAACCUGAUUUCAGACACUUUGCUGAGCUCCUUGAGAGCUGAUAUUUAUAUUUCCCUUGAGCUGUGAGGGAACUGUGCAGAACUGAAGAAGACCACACUGAAAUAUGGCCAUCGUCUAGAAUAUUUCAAGCCUUUCAGUUUCAACACAAUUCUUGGAGAAGAAUGGAAGCAGCCAGACUCAGACCUGUGGCUGCUAGCGAGACCUGAUAUAUAGGAGUAUUGUAGAUAGCCAACCAUGUCAAUCAUUCCUCCUUUGUACCUUUUAAGGUAAUCUAAUAAGUUACAUUAAAUGCAUUUCAACAAAAACACAUUUUAAUAAAGGUCACUGAAAUGUAGUAUCUCUGGCAAAUUAUAUUUGGUGAACAAAGAAAUAGAAACACUGUGUAACAUGAAAUAAUUUUAAUUCAAAUAUCCUCUCUGUCCUUGAAAUUAGUAUAAAACAAUGAUCUAUUCUAGUUGAUGAGACUAUCUAAUCUGCUAAGGCAUCAAUGUAGAAGAGUUAUUUAACUAGAUACUUCUACUGUGUAGGAAGAAAUGAAAUAGGUUUGAAUUAAGGAAAUGAGGUUGCUACUUUUACUUAUAGAUAAGUGAUAUAAUGCUGUUAAGCAAGAUGUCAGAAACCUUCAUUUGAUCUUUGAAGUGUCAAACAUUCCUGGUUGAAGGUAGACCCCAAUAUAGUAAGUCAGUACCUCUCUCUUACAUUAGUGAGUCAUGCAGGCAAAAAUUUCAAAAAGAGGAGCUGCAGAGUGAAACUGCACCACAGAUCAAAUAGACACAGCUGCAGAGUAUUCCACCAACAGCUGCAGAAUGAACUUGAUUCUCACAGGCUCAUCAAACAUGUUCCAGAAUAAGACCAGUAACACAUUUGUUGCAAUGCAGAUAGCUUUAGCUGCUUGGAUUUAUUUAUACCGGAAGACUUUUAGAUCUGAUAAACAAAUUCAGCCAAGUGACACACAAUACAUUCAGAAUACAUACAAAAAUAAUAGAUUUUCUACACAUCAAUAACCAACCUGUUGAGAAAUCAGGAAAGCAGUUUCACUCACAUCAAAAAACAUUUAGGAAUAAGCGUUGUGUGUUAGUUACUUUUUUCACUGUAGUUAAAAAAUAAUUGGCAAAAGCAACUUGGUAAAUGAAGGUUUUAUAUUUGUUCACAGUGUGAGUCCAUCAUAAUGGGGAAAGCAUGGCAACAGGAAUUUGAGGUGGCUGGUCACAGUGUGUCUACAGUCAAAAAACAGAGAUGAGCGGUGGUGUUGAGCUCACUUUCUUAUUUUCAGUCAGCCCUGGACCCUGUCCCAUGAAAUGAUGCAGACCUCAUUCUGAGUAUGUUUUCCAUUCUCAAAUCUUUUUGGAAACACCUGGAGUGCAGCUCCUAGGUGAUUCUAACUGCAGUUAAGCUGACAUUGAAGAUUAGUCAUCAUAUCUUGCUGAGGUGAUGAAAGGCUUUUACAAUGAAAGUUAUAGAACAUUGGAGAAAGAAAUUGAAGAGGACAAUAGAAGAUGAUAAGACAUUCCAUGUUCUUGGGUCAGUAGAUUUAGUAUUGGGAAAAUAGCCAUAUGAAAAUGAACUAUCUAGAAGUUUAUAUGAUCACCUUCAAAAUUUGAAUGACAUUCUUCAAAUAGCUAGAACAAUAUCCUAAAAUACGUAUGGAAGCACAAAAGACCUAUAAUAGGUAAAGAUGUCCUGACUACAAAAAAAAAAAAAACAUUACUGGAAGUAUCCCAAUAUCUUAUUUCAAGUUAUACUACAGCGCUGUAGUAAUAAAUGGGACCAGCACAAAAGCAAGCAGUAGACCAAUGAAUGCACUAGGACAGAAGAUCAAAAAAUUAACCCACACAGCCAUAGAUACCUAAGUUUUGACAAGGAAACAAAAACAAAAACAACAACAAAAAACAAACAAACAAACAAACAAAAAAAACAUGAGAAAAAGUUUCCUCAACAAGUGAUGCUGGGAAAAUAGUGUAUUCACAUGGAAGACUAGAGCUAGAUCCCCAUUUCCCAUCCUAUGAAUACAUGAGCCCUAAUACUUAAUGUAAGAACUGAAACACUGAAGCCAGUAGAAGAAAACAUAAAGAAAGUACUUGAAGAUAUCAGUACAGGCAGUGACUCCAGUAAUUUAACUCCAUUGCCUCUGAAAAUAAAAGACUCAACAAAUUGGAUGUCAUCAGAUUAAAAAGCGGCACAAGAGCCAGGCGUGGUGUCACAUACCUGUAAUCCCAGCGCUAAAGGAAGCAGAGGAGCGCUAAAGGAAGCAGAGGCAGGCAGAUCUCUGAGUUCAAGGCCAGCCUGGUCUAUAAAGUUAGUCCAGGACAGCCAGGGCUACACAGAGAAACCUUGUCUUGGAAAAAAAAAAGAACCAAACCUCACAGGAAAGGUGAUAAUUAAUGAAGUAAAGAGACAGCCUGUAGUAGGGGAGAAAGAUCUUUGCAUCAGAGGCUUAAUAUCCAGCAUAUACAAAGAACUCACAAUAACUUAACACCAAAGCAAGAUGGGAAAAUGUAAUGAAUAAGUGAGCAGAUCAUCUAUAUAGUUCUCAAAAGGACUUGUACAAACAGAUAGUCAUUAUUAAAAAAAAACAAAACAAAACAAAAAAAAACCCUCAGUGUCUUUAGGUAUUAGAAUGCAGGUUAAAACUUCAUUGAGAUUUCAUUUUAACUCAGUAAAAAUGGCUAUCCUCAAGAAAGCAACAAAUGUUGGUAAGAGAAAAAGAGGAGAAAAGUUUGUAUCUGCUUUUCAUGGGGAUUUAUAUUAUUGUCAACUGUGGAAAUCAGUAUGGAGAUAUACUGAAAUUAGAGCUACCAUAUGAUCCAGCUCUACCACUUCUGAGUACAUCCCCAAGAGAAUCUGAAUCAGCAUAAUACAGAGACACCUGCAUAGCUGUGUUCAUCACAAUAUUCAAGUGAUAACAUCAGUCAGUCUAGGUGUCUGUCUACUGAGAAGUGGAUACAGAAAACACACCGUAUAUACAGCCGUAAGAAGAACAAACUUAUGUCAUUAUAAUGAAAAUGGAUGGGACUAGAGAUUGUAUUAGUAAGCCAGUUUCUGAAACAUAAGUAGCUCAUGUUUUUUUAUUUCAUUUAUGAAGGUUAAAGAAAAUAAAACACUUGAGUAUAGAUCAGGAGACUAUUAGAGAAGUGGAAGAUUUGAGGAGGGUUUUUUUUGGGGGGGAGAUAAAGUGAAGAAUAAAAAUGUUUACAGAUGUGUACAUGUAUGAAUCUGCCAAAGUAAAAUGCACUAUUCUGUAUAAUUAAUAUAUACAAAUUAGAAGUUUGUGGUCUAGAGUUCUCAAAUUUUGUGUUGUGCUUCAAUGCUUUCCUUCUAGUAGAUCUGUGAACUUCUGCAUUAUACUUAAUCCUCAACAUCAUUAGCACAGAAGCCAAUAGACUCUCAGAAGGUAGUUUUUUCCUGCUUUCUCAACAUUAUAGUUUCCCUGUCUAUUCUGCUCUUAAAAAAAAAAAAAAAAAGGUGUGUGUGUGUUGUUAUUCUUUACAUGCAUACAGAAGACCAGAAAGCCAGAAGAGGCUUAUAUAACUUCCCAGAGCUGGAGAUAUAGGAAGUUUUGAGCUACCUGAUGAUGUGAGUUUUGAGAACUGAACUUGGGACUUCUUCAAGAACAUCAAGUGCUCUUAAUCACUUUUCCAUCUGUCCAGUCCUUCCCCUCUUCUUUAAUAAUAACAUAAGAAUUUUUAGAGGGUCCUCUUAGGAAUUAUAUUUCUAUACACACACACACACACACAACCCAGUAUUUCUUCAGUUUCUUUUGGAAAUAAAAAUGACCAUGGAAUGGUUUGUGUCAAUGAGAUGUAAAUAGUCAAAACAACAUUUUGAUCAGUAGCAGACUGCUUGUGCUGCUACCAUAAAGUUUUAAUGAGCUGAAAUGUGAUGUUUUCUAGUGAUAGGAUAGCCAUUAUACUAUUAUGGGACAGUGUGCUAUACAUCUGUUGUGAUGUUUUUAUAAAGAAACAUACUGUACUGCCAGUUGUAUGAAAGUGUAACAGUAUGGUUGUGUAUAGAGCAAAAUGCUUGACGAUGAUAAAUGACUGACUUUUUUGUGUAUUUAUCAUUUUGGAAUAUAUUCCUUAUUAAAAAUUUUUUAGGUGAAAAA